rnacentral:rRNA from 1 species
GGAAUCAUCCACAAUGGGCGCAAGCCUGAUGGAGCAACACCGCGUGAGUGAAGAAGGGUUUCGGCUCGUAAAGCUCUGUUGUUAAAGAAGAACACGUAUGAGAGUAACUGUUCAUACGUUGACGGUAUUUAACCAGAAAGUCACGGCUAACUACGUGCCAG